GAGCCAAUUGAAAUCCUAAACGGAAGCACUCUUUGAUGUACACACGAAUUUAAUUUGCAGAGGGAAGGUUUCUUUUUUCUAGAGGUCUCAGUGAGGGGCAGUAGGCUUUUCUUCCCAAAGUAAAGAUAAACACCGAGCGUCGGGUUUCCAGUUAAACGGAGUCAGCGUUAACAUGCGCAACCACCAGCGCGUCCAGCCUGUGGCAGAUGCCCCUUUGGGGCAGGCCGAAGUCUUCCAGCCGUGAACGGCGGAGCGCUAGUGCCCGCCCUCCAAACAGGCCAAUCAGAAAGGAGAAAAGUCUGGGAGCCGAGGGUCGCUGGUUUGUCCCUGGGCCAAUCGAAAGAGCCCUGAUUUGGCGGGAGUCUUGACGGUUUCCGGGCUCUCGGUCCCCGCGCGCGUUCGGGCUAUCCCGCCGCCGUGGCCAUGUUCGUGUCCGAUUUCCGCAAGGAAUUCUACGAGGUGGUCCAGAGUCAGAGGGUCCUUCUCUUCGUGGCCUCGGACGUGGACGCUCUGUGCGCUUGCAAGAUCCUUCAGGCCCUGUUCCAGUGUGACCACGUGCCAUAUACGCUGGUUCCAGUUUCUGGGUGGCAAGAACUUGAAACUGCAUUUCUUGAGCAUAAAGAGCAGUUCCAUUACUUCAUCCUCAUAAACUGUGGCGCUAACGUGGACCUAUUGGAUAUACUUCAACCCGAUGAAGAUACCAUAUUUUUCGUGUGUGACACUCACAGGCCAGUCAAUGUUGUGAACGUGUACAAUGAUACCCAGAUCAAACUGCUUAUUAAACAAGAUGACGACCUGGAAGUUCCUGCCUAUGACGACCUCUUUAGGGAUGAAGAGGAAGAUGAAGAACAUUCAGGAAACGAAAGCGAUGAGGGGUCAGAGCCUUCUGAGAAGCGCACACGGUUAGAGGAGCAGGAAAUCGUGGAGCGAACCAUGAAGAGGAGGCAACGAAGAGAGUGGGAGGCCCGCAGAAGAGACAUCCUUUUUGACUACGAACAGUACGAAUACCACGGGACGUCAUCGGCCAUGUUGAUGUUCGACCUGGCGUGGAUGAUGUCUAAGGACCUGAGCGACAUGCUGUGGUGGGCCAUCGUUGGACUAACGGACCAGUGGGUGCAAGACAAAAUCACCCAGAUGAAGUACGUGACUGACGUGGGCGUCCUGCAGAGGCAUGUGUCCCGGCACAGCCAUCGGCACCAGGAUGAGGAGCAUGCGCUCUCCGUUGACUGCAUGCGGAUCUCUUUCGAGUAUGACCUCCGCCUGGCACUCUACCAGCACUGGUCCCUGCAUGACAGCCUGUGUAACACGUGCUACACCGCAGCCAGGUUCAAGCUCUGGUCCCUGCACGGGCAGAAGCGGCUCCAGGAGUUCCUUGCAGACGUGGGCCUCCCCCUGAAACAGGUGAAACAGAAGUUUCAGUCCAUGGACAUCUCCUUGAAGGAGAAUUUGCGGGAGAUGAUUGAAGAGUCUGCGAAUAAGUUUGGCAUGAAGGACAUGCGCAUCCAGACUUUCAGCAUCCAUUUUGGCUUCAAGCAUAAGUUCCUGGCCAGUGAUGUGGUCUUUGCCACCAUGGCGCUGAUGGAGAGCCCCGAGAAGGACGGCUCCGGGACAGAUAAUUUCAUCCAGGCUCUGGACAGUCUCUCCAGGAGCAACCUGGACAAACUGUAUCAUGGCCUGGAGCUUGCCAAGCAGCAGCUGCGAGCCACCCAGCAGACCAUCGCCAGCUGCCUCUGCACCAACCUCAUCAUUUCCCAAGGGCCUUUCCUCUACUGCUCCCUCAUGGAGGGCACUCCCGAUGUCAUGCUCUUCUCCAAGCCAGCGUCCCUGAGCCUGCUCAGCAGACACCUGCUCAAGUCCUUCGUGUGCUGGACAAAGAACCGGCGCUGCAAGCUACUGCCCUUGGUGAUGGCCGCACCGCUGAGUGUGGAGCAGGGCACCGUGACCAUGGUGGGCAUCCCGCCGGAGACUGACAGCUCGGACAAAAAGAACUUUUUUGGCCGGGCGUUUGAGAAGGCGGCAGAGAGCACCAACUCCCGGACGAUGCACAACCAUUUCGAUCUGUCAGGUAAGUAUCCACUGCCAAGUCCUUCAGGGUCAGUGCUGGCUUUGGAACCAGGGAGGUGCUGGUGCUGCCCUGCCAGCAGCCCCCAGGUGCCACACCAGCUCUGGCAGCUCCAAAGGCCCAGGCCCUGCACCUUGACCCUGACAGGCAGGCCGGGCUCUGUACAAUCCAGCCUGAGCCCACUUUACCAAGGAGCCUGGGGACUGGCCAACAGGGCCUCCUGGGCCCAGCCUCACUCCUCAGUGUCACCUGCCACUUCUGUGGGUGCAGAGACAGCAAGGCCUGCAGCAACGAGGGCACCACCUCCGCAGCCGUGCAGGUCACACCAUGGUGCCCUGAGACUGCUGUAGGGUGGUUCUGUGGAGACUUUCCUGUAGGCUGCCAGCAACCCCCACUCCACCCACAGCUUCUCUAGAUGCUAGUGUGAACAUGGUUCACAUUUGGCCAUGUUUGCUCCUUUUUUUUUUUUCUCUUUUUAGGGCCAUACCUGUGGCAUAUGGAAGUUCCCAGGCUGGGGCUUGAAUUGGAGCUGCAGAUGCUGGUCUAUACCAUUGCCACAGCAACACCAGAUCCGAGCCACGUCUGGGACCUAUGCCACAGCUCAUGGCAACACCGGAUCCUUACUUAGCCCAGUAAGUGUGGACAGGGAUUGAACCCACGUCCUCAUGGACCCUAUGUCAGGUUCUUAACCCGCUGAACCGCUGAGCCAUGUUUGCCUCCUAUGCUUGCAACAAAUUUCAAAGUAAAGCAGAUGUUUGGCACUUAACCCCGUGUUAGUGAGAUUGGCUGCUGUGACAAAGUGCCACAGACUGGCGGGGGUUAAACCACAGAAAUGAAUGUCUCACUGUGUGGAGCUGGACAUUUCAGGUCAAGGUGGCAGGGCUGGUUCCCCCUGAGGCCUCUCUCCUUGGCGUGCAUUCGGCUGCCUUGACUGUGUCCUCAUGCGGCUCUCCCUCUGUGUGUCUGUGUCCUAUCCUUCCUGUAAGGACAGUAGAUUAGAUCAGGUCCCACCCUAAUAACCGUAUUUAACUUGAUUCCCCUUUUAAAAGGCCAUUUCCAGGUAUAUUCACAUUCUGAAGUGCCGGGGGUCAGGGUGCAACAUGGCAAAUUUGGGAGGUUGGACUUCAAUCCAUGGUACCCAUCUCUCAGAAGGGACACCACCUCCUGAUCCUCAGCGAGGACCAGUCACUGCAGUCAGAGCCCCAGCCUUCAGCCCAUUGCCUCGGGUGUCCAGAGCAGGCAUCCUCCUGCCUGGUCCUCUCAGCUGUGGCCCCGUGUUGGGUGGGUUCACUCCAGGGGCAGCCCCCUGACUCCUGUCUCAUGCCUGAGACACGGGACAGGUUGGUGCUGGCUGGCCUGAAGAGUGUGCCAGCUCUUCCACAUGGGGAGCUCGGGGCUUCCCCUGGGCAGACAACUUACAGAGGAUAUGGUGGGAGCUGUGACCUGAGGUGUACAGCUCACAGGACCAGGCCGGCCUGGCUUUGCCUGAUAAGGGCCCACAUGCUGGUCCGAACCUGAUGGCCCACAGAGGGGGCAGGCCACACUGCAUCCCCUCCUACAGAAUAGAGCACUGGGGCUGAGGGACAGGCCAACGCAGGAGGAAGGUUGGCCUCCUGCCAGACCCCAGGGCCUCUCCCACCACUCAGUUGCAGGGCUUUGUGUCUGCAGGGUGGGAGGCUCCUCUGUUGGGUCUGUGGUAUUCAGAGUGUCACAUCAUGUGUUCCCUCUGUUGGCUGUUACUGUCCCCUGGGUCCUCCCCACAGCCACAGCCCCUACCACAUCGAUGAGGUAGCUGACUGUUUCUGAGGGUUAAAUGGGCCCCAGGCCAUCAGGGAGCAAAGGCGCUGUGGAAUGUGGUGGAGGGCUGUGGCCGCGGGGAUGUGGGAGUUAACCUGACAGUUGACGGCUUCUCCCCUUGCUCUGUCCCUGCUCCUCCCAUCCCAACCAUGUUUUCCUUUCAUUACUGCAGUGAUUGAGCUGAAAGCCGAGGACCGCAGCAAGUUCCUGGAUGCACUCGUUUCCCUCCUGUCCUAGGAGUUUGAUUUCUUCAAAAGUGACCUCCUAUUUAUGUUGGCUGGCUUUUAUUUAGAUUCUAAGUUAUAGGCGUAGUUCUAGAUGUAGGAACAGUGGUUUUUAAUGGAAUAAAAUGCUGAUUUUAGGUUUGA